UACGUAGGGUGCAGGCGUUAAUCGGAAUUACUGGGCGUAAAGCGUGCGCAGGCGGUUUGCUAAGACAGGUGUGAAAUCCCCGGGCUUAACCUGGGAACUGCGCUUGUUACUGGCAAGCUGGAGUGUGGCAGAGGGGGGUGGAAUUCCGACGUGUAGCAGUGAAAUGCGUAGAGAUGUGGAGGACACCGAUGGCGAAGGCAGCCCCCUGGGCUAACACUGACGCUCAUGCACGAAAGCGUGGGGAGCAAACAGGAUUGAGAUAC
rnacentral:rRNA from 1 species